AACGAACGCUGGCCGCAUGCCUAACACAUGCAAGUCGAACGAGACCUUCGGGUCUAGUGGCGCACGGGUGCGUAACGCGUGGGAAUCUGCCCUUGGUUCGGAAUAACAGCGAGAAAUUGCUGCUAAUACCGGAUGAUGACGUAAGUCCAAAGAUUUAUCGCCCAAGGAUGAGCCCGCGUAGGAUUAGCUAGUUGGUGAGGUAAAGGCUCACCAAGGCGACGAUCCUUAGCUGGUCUGAGAGGAUGAUCAGCCACACUGGGACUGAGACACGGCCCAGACUCCUACGGGAGGCAGCAGUGGGGAAUAUUGGACAAUGGGCGAAAGCCUGAUCCAGCAAUGCCGCGUGAGUGAUGAAGGCCUUAGGUUGUAAAGCUCUUUACCCGGGAUGAUAAUGACAGUACCGGGAGAAUAAGCUCCGGCUAACUCCGUGCCAACAGCCGCGGU
rnacentral:rRNA from 1 species